AGUGAACGCUGGCGGCAGGCCUAAUACAUGCAAGUCGAACGGCAGCACAGCAGAGCUUGCUCUGUGGGUGGCGAGUGGCGGACGGGUGAGGAAUACAUGGGAAUCUGCCCAGUCGUGGGGGAUAACGUAUGGAAACGUACGCUAAUACCGCAUGCGCCCUAAGGGGGAAAGCCGGGGACCGCAAGGCCUGGCGCGAUUGGAUGAGCCCAUGUUCGAUUAGCUAGUUGGCGGGGUAAAGGCCCACCAAGGCGACGAUCGAUAGCUGGUCUGAGAGGAUGAUCAGCCACACUGGAACUGAGACACGGUCCAGACUCCUACGGGAGGCAGCAGUGGGGAAUUUUGGACAAUGGGCGCAAGCCUGAUCCAGCCAUGCCGCGUGAGUGAAGAAGGCCUCGG
rnacentral:rRNA from 1 species